rnacentral:lncRNA from 1 species
GUUGUUGUUGUAGUAGAAGAGUACAGAGAUGGGACUGAGCUUGGUGGGUGCGCAGCACGCUUUGGGAACCUCAUCUGGCUUCAAAAGGUGAACCUGCCAUGGAAAAAGGGUUCGCGAUCGUCUGGAGGUGGACAGCGACAGCGACUUCGAAGAUGCAGCAGACUGAUGUCUCGGUGGUGUACGCUACUCUCCACAUGGGGCUGGAUGGGCUGCUCUCCUCCUCGGCGUGGUCGGAGGCUGCCUCCGUCUCUACGCCCACCAAUCAGCAGUUCACUGAGCCAGAGCCUGAGGGCCACAACUGCUAUGAGG